rnacentral:rRNA from 1 species
GGCCGGGGGGSWAGCUUACCCMAGGGCRAGGUCSGAACGGGKCUCYUCGGGARAUAGUGGGCGGACGGGGUGAGUAACGCGYGAAAUCUAGCUUCMGGUCGGGGACAACCACUGGGAGCGGUGGCUAAUAGCGGAUGUGCCGAAAGGUGAAAGAUUUAUUGCCUGAGAUGAGCUCGCGUCUGAUUAGCUAGUUGGUGUGGUAAAAGCGCACCMAGGCGACGAACAGU